UCAUUAUUUGUUAUUAAUUACAAUUUUUACUUGUUUUCUAAAUCUUAUUUUUGUUCAUUAUUUCUUUCUUUUCAAAUGGUAAAAUUAUCUUUUAUUUUCCUGGGGUAAAAUCGACUUUUAACUCAUUUCCAGUUAAAUAUUAAUAUUUUUUUAACGAAAAUGUAAUAAAUUAAUAACGGCGAAAAUAUUUGGCGGUAAAAUGUAAUUUUCAGCACACCAUGAUAGUGACAUGAUAUGUCAAAAUAACUGUAGCAGGAAAACAAAAAUAUCCCCAAUAAUAAUAAUCAUCAUAAAUGUUCUAAACAUGUAUAGUGAACUGCAAAAAUUAAUGUAAGUACAUUUUAGAUAUACUUAAACUUGUUCUUAAAAAUACAUGCAAUGUAACUUUAUAACUACAUCGGUCAUUGGUUCAAAUCAUUUUAGAAAAGAAUAGAAUUGAGAAUAUUGAAGUUGCCGAGGAAAAAAAUUUUAAUAUUACGAAUCUUAUAUGUUACUUAUUAUUAGUAUUUUUUUGUGUUUGACUAAUUAUCAAUUUAUAUUUUCAUUAGGCCCUAAAUGAUUAAAAAAAUGCUAUUUUAUACAUCUAACAAAAUCAUUAAUUUAAUACACUGGCCUAAGUGGAGAUCAAAAGAUUUUUUUAUUUAAUUAAGGUUAUCAAUUUAUUAAAUAUUCAUCGAUCAAGCUUUUACUAUAUAGCUAAAACAGAUACACUUAUAUAGUAAAGCCCUAAGGCGUACCGAGAACAGGACUCAUAAAUUAAUGCCAACUGGUGGUGGCGAAACAUUACUCCCAUAUUUAGGAAGAUAUCAAGUCCUACCCAUAAAUCACAAGUAUGGAAGGGAAAAUAAAUUAUAAUAACGUAGGAGGACUAGGCAAUACCCUCAAUAGUUAUUGGGCCAUUAGUUGCCGCCAUGGCAGAGACUUGGUGACAAAUUAGAUAUACUUUAAACACUCAUUGAAUUAUGAUCAUAUUCUUAAAUAAUAAAUAUUAUACGAGCAGAAAAUGUAACUAAAAUAAUUAAAGAAUUCUAAAUCACUCUGUACUUCAUUCCCUUUCGACAUGAACAAGACAAUUCAAAGACAUACUUCUAAGCUUUCUUAAUUUCUUGAUUAUCAUGGUUUUAAGAACUUGUUUACCAACCAAUCUUUCGAUGAGAGCUGUAUUUUGAUGUAAUCCUUGUAAAACACAGAGACUUGUCACAAUAGGGCUUAUAUAAACUUCGGACUCUUCUAAGAAUCUAAAUUGAUUCCUCUAAUAAAUGUAACAAAUAUUUAUCGACUGUGUCAAAAGGAGUAAUAACAUGUCAGUAACUCUUUAAUUAAUUACUUGAGUUGGUAAAGUCAGUGACAUAAUGCUUCCUUCCAUUUGGAGUCAAAAUAAUGUUCAGGCACAUACUAACUUCAUUUUUAAAGUUGGGGGUUCGAUUAUGUAAGAGAGUAUUUCACAUUAUUUAUAAUGACUCUAACCAUGACUUUGAGCAAUAAAUUUUCUUAGAAUUGCUGUUUAGUGAUUAAGAAGGUGUCUUGUUCCCCUUCGAAAUCUUAGAAUUAUAAUAAAACUUUGUAAGCAUAAAUAAUAUUUAUUGAUUAUUUUAACCUUAAUAACGCAUGAAAUUAACUCACUCGGCGUCAGUACUCUUGAUGUAGAGAGUGCGUGUAGCUAGAAGUGGUGGAAUGUCGAGCCGGUUAAUUGCUCAAUCAACAUCACCGGCUAGUUGAAAGAAAUUUUAAUGCAUUAGCCUAGUAAAUAUUUUUGGACAUAUAAAUUAAGAUCAUCAUUCUCUCAUGAUUUGAUCUUUUAUUGAGUAAAAAUGGUGAUUAGUAAUUAAUAAAUAAAAAAAUUAAAUUCUACUCAUAUAUUAUCAUUAAAAAACACGUGAUCUUUAAAAGCUCACGAGAGGUUAUUCUAGAAAAGAUCAUAAUCAUAUCAAUUAAGACAUAAAUUUAAUUAUGAAUAUGAAUUGAAAGCCUAACCUACGAGGUAUAUUAGUCAAUUAUAAUGAUAGUCGGUUAUUAAGAGUUUUUUAUUUUUGGCUUUUUUUAGGGAUUCGAAGAAAAUCUAACCUUUGGAAGAAAAUUGUAUAAUGCCGUAAUUAAAAUUACAACAUCAAUGCUAUAAUAAACUUAAAUUUUAUAAAUUAUAUGCAAGACUAAUAAAUAGAAAGUAAAACAAGUAAAUUAAUAUAAAAUUAUAAUUAUUAAAACAAUUAACAUGGUUUCUCUAGAAUUUUAGUGAAAAAUAGUUUAUUUAUUUACCUUAAUUAAAUAAAAUCACUCAUCAAUUGAAAAAAAUAAUUAUACUGAAAAUAAGUA
rnacentral:lncRNA from 1 species